AAUGCUAAUGUUUCGCUUUAAAAUUGCCCGAAAAGUAGGGCAACGAAUUAAAAGGAUACCGUGUUAUGACGCUUCCUGUUAGCUCGAAUUUUUUCGCAUUUCUAUAACAGAUGCAUGUGAACGCAGCUGAUACGGCAUCUGAUCGCGUAGCAUUCAUUACAUUGCAAAUGAAUAGUAGAUUAGCAGUGAAGAGGUAAUCGAGACUUUGGUGGAACAACCAGUAUGCAGAAGCAACUAAUGAUCAUGAUGAUUUCAUUGUGAGAUGCAUGUUUAUUUGCAAGUUAUUGGAAUUGAUUAUAAUAUACCUGUUACUGAUGGCACAAACAAUCCUAACAAAAUCUCCAAUGUACGGAACCUGGCUCGUUGGCAGGAUUUUCCCAAGUUGACAUUUGCCUGUCUCCAUGAGCCAUAAAGGAUGGCAUCUGUGCCUUGAUACCUAGUUCCUCCAAGUCAUCCAAGGAGUCUCUGAAACCACGGUCCACCACAAAUACAUCAUCCUCGCAAACCCAUCCCUGUGUUUUGGGCAGCAACGAGCUCCAGCAGGAAUUAUGACUUCUUUGGUGAUAAAGAUUCGAUGACGAAAUCCCACUGGAACCACAACUAGCUUUGGUCCUGGCCUUUUGCAGAUGCAACAUGCAGCAUGUCCUCUUGAUGUGCAAGGAAAAGGAAGAGUUACUGAUGGUGGACUGAACUGAGGUGUUAAAGUUGUAGAUGAUGUUGAUGGUGCGGAUUCACCUUGACAAUCUGUCGUGCUCGCCAUGCUAUGACCUUUGCGUUUUAUGUGACGUGCACACAUGCACCUACAUCUGUUGCAUAGGAAGUCAUCGUCACCUGGUGUUCUCCCAGAUAGUUUGGAGAUAACGACUCUGUAUUUUCUUGCAAUGCUGUAUCUGUCUUUCUGUCGUACCACGCGUGGACAAUUACAACAGUUGUAAGAUUUCUUACCAGGCAUCUGAAAUGUCAAAUAAAAUCUGUUUCAUUUUA